rnacentral:lncRNA from 1 species
CUUUUGCGUGCCUUCCACCGCCGCGAGCUCGGAAUGUCUGGCCCCGGGUGCUUCAGGAUGGAGAAACGGAGGCCCAGGGAAGGGAUGUGCCCGAGGUCAUACAAAGAAGUUUGUGGGAAUCCAGGCCAUGCGCGGUGGCUCACGCUUGUAAUCCCAGCACUUUGGGAGGCCGAGGCGGGCAGAUCACGAAGUCAGAAGAUCGAGACCAUCCUGGCUAACACGGGACUCAAGACUGGAAUGGGAAGAGCAUGAAAUUGAGCUGUCUAUCCCCCUGGAUCUCUCAUUGCCACCUGCCCAUAGGUUGGCUGCACCCCUCCACCAAAGAAAGGCCAUGACUCCUUCCUGGCAGCCCUGUCUUACAGCUACUCUCUGGUGAUCUGGGAACCACUCCCUCCCUUACCCCUUGAUGCCUAGGGCUAGUGCCAGCACCUUGUUGUUGUUAGCCUCAGAGGCACUUGCACUGUUCCUUGAUGGUUUUCCCAAAUCUUGCCCUCAUCUUUGUAAAUACUGUUUGCCGUUUAUUACACUGUCAUCAUAUUACCCAA